rnacentral:pre_miRNA from 1 species
AGUACACGGUUGCUGGAUUGCUUGGUAAGAAUCUGUUCAGUUUUCUAAGAAACUGCUAAACUGGUUUCCAACGUGGCUUUGCCAUUUGCAUUUCCACAAGCAAU